UACAGAGACUGCAAGCGUUAUUCGGAUUCACUGGGCGUAAAGGGUGCGCAGGCGGUCGGGUGUGUCAGAUGUGAAAUCCCGAGGCUCAACCUCGGAACUGCGUCUGAAACUACUCGACUAGAGUACUGGAGAGGGUAACGGAAUUCACGGUGUAGCAGUGAAAUGCGUAGAUAUCGGUGAGGAACACCAGAGGCGAAGGCGGUUACCUGGACAGUUACUGACGCUCAGGCACGAAAGCAUGGGGAGCAAAAGGGG
rnacentral:rRNA from 1 species